GUUGAGAACUAGCAGUGAAGGGGUAAUGAUCUCGGUGGUCUUAAUAAGACAAGAACUGACAAGACAAUGAGGAGGAUGAAAAAAUUGAAAAGAGCUGGGAGCAGAAGGAAGGGAGCACUCUGCCAGUUUGACCCUUACUACAAGUUUCAACUGAAGUAUGAUGCCUAUAAACUUUCCCAACUACUUUCUGCCCACCUCUUCCACUUCUGUGAUGCUAAGAAGGAAAUAGAGUUUCAGAAGAAAAAAAAAAAAAGUCUGCAUAAUGAGGCACUGCAAGGAGAUGAGUGAACUCAGACGCGAAACGAACAGACCAUUUGAGAGGCUAGGAAAAGCGGCUGGACAUUCACAAAUUGCUUUCAAAGCAAUUAGAAGGAGUCUACUCAGCUCCCAAUCUCAUCUCAGAGUGUCUCAUAGAGAGGGCCUCUCUUAGGCACUUUCCAAGAGGAAGGGGGAGCCCAGAAGGAAGAGAUUUCGAAGUGAAUUUCACACUUGACUGCUUGGGCAGUGCCUGGGGCAGGAGCCACAGGCCAAAUAGUCAUGGAAAACUCCAAAGAAAUUACAUCACCUUUGGGUCAGGAACAGAAAAGAAAUACAGGUGACCUGUUCUUUGAGGAGGCUGAUUUUUUUAAACCCCUCAAAUAAAAAAAAUACUCAUGUGUUCUUACUACCCCUGCCCGACUUGCUCCCACUGAAAUCAACACUUUCCCUUGCUUGAGACGAUAAACUUUGA